AUGGUCCUUGAAUGACGUCUUAGAACUUCAGCGUCUAGCAACUGGAGAACCAGACCGUGAUCCAGGUCGGGAACCAGAUCCUCCCUGUGAAAGAAGAAUAAAAUCAAUUUGAUUAGAAAGGAGGCGGAUCAUGAGGACUUGAGAACAAGCAUGACCUCUAUUGGACACUACUAGUGAAAAUGUUCCAAGCUAUUGCACUGAGGCCACCACACACCAUGACUGGGAUCCACGUGUGCAGAUAUCUCAAAGAACCACAGCUACCACAAGAGAAAUAACUCUGGAAUGUUCCACCAAGAGUGCCUCCAACUCCCUCACCAAUCACUCCAGUGUGCUGAGAUGGCAAUCUUUACCGAAUAAGGACCCAAUCCUACUCUGACGAAGACACUGUUUGCUGUUGAGAUUUUCCACUCCAGUCAUUCCUGCCCUUAAUCUGACAGAGCACUGAAGAUCAACCAAGAUACAAGAGAG